CAAGGCGGCUUGUUACUUGCCGCAGGGGCCAUUGAGAAGCAAUUCUCAAUAGCAAAUUCGACUAUAUGCUGGAAACUCCGCCAGUAUCUCUAGGUACUAUGAUAUUAUGAUAUAUCAUAGUGAAAAUCCUAAGAGUGAUGCGGACAAUCAGCAGGCAACCCCGCUCAAAUUUUUGGAAAUAAAAAAGUGGAUUUCUGGGAUUCAGGAUCCGGCCUCGAUUAGAGGUUGCCAUCCUUUCGGAAGGAUGCCCUGAAAUGCUUCCCACGCAAAAUCCACUUUCAUGCUAGUAUAUCAAAUAAAUAAUGCACUUGUCAAGUGUUUGUUUCUAAAAAUUUGAGCGGGAGAGUCCUCAACGACUGAAAGUCGAACCAGUUAUAUUUCAAAAAAAUGACUGGAUGAUACAGUCUGAACUUAUAGGCGACUAUAAG
rnacentral:ncRNA from 1 species